AACGAACGCUGGCGGCAGGCUUAACACAUGCAAGUCGAACGCAUCGCAAGAUGAGUGGCAGACGGGUGAGUAAUGCGUGGGAACAUACCCUUUUCUACGGAAUAGCUCUGGGAAACUGGAAUUAAUACCGUAUACGCCCUACGGGGGAAAGAUUUAUCGGGGAAGGAUUGGCCCGCGUCGGAUUAGCUAGUUGGUGGGGUAAAGGCCUACCAAGGCGACGAUCCAUAGCUGGUCUGAGAGGAUGAUCAGCCACAUUAGGACUGAGACACGGCCCAAACUCCUACGGGAGGCAGCAGUGGGGAAUAUUGGACAAUGAGCGCAAGCCUGAUCCAGCCAUGCCGCGUGAGUGAUGAAGGCCUUAGGGUUGUAAAGCUCUUUCACCGAUGAAGAUAAUGACGGUAGUCGGAGAAGAAGCCCCGGCUAACUUCGUGCCAGCAGCCGCCGUAAUAC
rnacentral:rRNA from 1 species